rnacentral:rRNA from 1 species
AGAGCGAACGCUGGCGGCAGGCCUAACACAUGCAAGUCGAGCGCUCCGCAAGGGGAGCGGCAGACGGGAGAGUAACACGUGGGAACGUACCCUUCAGUUCGGAACAACCCAGGGAAACUUGGGCUAAUACCGGAUACGUCCGUAAGGAGAAAGAUUUAUCGCUGAAGGAUCGGCCCGCGUCUGAUUAGCUAGUUGGUGAGGUAACGGCUCACCAAGGCGACGAUCAGUAGCUGGUCUGAGAGGAUGAUCAGCCUCACUGGGACUGAGACACGGCCCAGACUCCUACGGGAGGCAGCAGCGGGGAAUAUUGGACAAUGGGCGCAAGCCUGAUCCAGCCAUGCCGCGUGGGUGAUGAAGGCCCUAGGGUUGUAAAGCCCUUUCGGCGGGGAAGAUAAUGACGGUACCCGCAGAAGAAGCCCCGGCUAACUUCGUGCCAGCAGCCGC